UGGAUGGAAGCCUGCUAGGUUUGGGCAUUUAGCUGUUAACUAAAGUUUUGUGGGAUCGAGGCCCACCUGUCCAG
rnacentral:tRNA from 1 species